CACGUAGGGCGCAAGCGUUGUCCGGAAUUAUUGGGCGUAAAGAGCUCGUAGGCGGUCUGUUGCGUCCGCUGUGAAAACCCGGGGCUUAACCCCUGGCUUGCAGUGGAUACGGACAGACUAGAGGUAGGUAGGGGAGAAUGGAAUUCCCGGUGUAGCGGUGAAAUGCGCAGAUAUCGGGAGGAACACCGGUGGCGAAGGCGGUUCUCUGGGCCUUACCUGACGCUGAGGCACGAAGGCCAGGGGAGCAAACGGG
rnacentral:rRNA from 1 species